GACGAACCACACAAACGUUAUUCGGAAUUACUGGGCUUAAAGGGCGCGUAGGUGGCCUUCUAAGUUGAACGUGAAAUCCCUGGGCUCAACCCAGGAACUGCGUCCAAGACUGGGAGGCUUGAAUCCGGGAGAGGGAUGCGGAAUUCCAGGUGUAGCGGUGAAAUGCGUAGAUAUCUGGAGGAACACCGGUGGCGAAGGCGGCAUCCUGGACCGGUAUUGACACUGAGGCGCGAAAGCCAGGGGAGCAAACGGG
rnacentral:rRNA from 1 species